ensembl:lncRNA
CCAACACAAAUCAGAGGCACUGAGCACACACACUCUUUUCAGAGGCGAGGACUCUGUCCAGAGACGCCAAAGCGCACGCCCAGGGCCUCAGAGCCAGUCACUCGGAAGAGCUGAAGGCAUUCACUUUAGUCUACUGAACUAUAACCAAGCUUCCUGAUAGAUACCAACAAUCAACACGGCACUCCUCACGGACCUGUAAAGCAAUGUGAAACUGUUAUUUCUGAAAAAUUCAGUAUUUGAAGCAAACAAGGCUAAAUAAUGUAGAAUCGCAUCUCCCUUCCCACUUGGCAAGCUUGCAAAGCUCUUGCUUCCAGCCUCGGGGGGUGGGAUUAUUUUUGUCCAAGGUCCACUGCUUCAUCAGGGAUGACCAUUUCAGUCACUCCCAUCUUCUCUGGGGCCUUGGUUUCAGUCAUCAUCCCCUUUCACAUUUUUAAAAACAUUAAAAAAAAUUUUAAUUUUUGGCUGCACUGGGUCUUUGUGGCUGCACAAGGGCUCUCUCUAGUCACAGAGUGGGGACUACUUUCCAGCUGCAGAGCACGGGCUUCUCAUUGUGGUGGCUUCUCUCGUUGCGGAGCAUAGGCCCUAGGGUGUGCAGGUUUCAGGAGCUGUGAUGCUCAGGUUCGGCUGCCUCUUGGCCUGUGGGAUCUUCAGGGAACAGGAAUCAAACCUGGGUCCCCUGUAUUGGCAGGCGGAUUCUUAAUCACUGGACCACAAGGGAAGGCCCCCUUUCACAUUUUUAACUUUCGUUUUUCCAACCUUCAAAAAGCAGGGAGGGCCUCCUCCCUUCUUUCCCUCUAGUCACCCAUGUUCCUCUUUACCUUUUCAGAAGCCUCAGAGUCGUCUACCCCACGUCGUUUUCUCACCUCCUACUUAUCCUCAAAGCACUAGCAACUUUCCAUCCCCACACUCCUCUGGCAUGGGACGGCCGACCUCUGGGGACACAUCUCGGUCAUCUUUCUUGUACUCCGCUCUGCUUGCUGCAGACCAUUCCCCUCCUCGAGGCUCCUCUCCCUUGGGCUUAUUGCUGAUCCUGUCUCCCAGUUCUCUUGGAGGUUUCUCUGCAGACGUGAUCACUCACUUGAGCUUCAUACUACAUGCAGACAGGCAUAUUCCAAGUUCAAGUUUCUGGCUUCUCCAAAAACACACCUGUCUUCAAACUGCUUAGUCUCUCCUUUUGAUCCCAGGCCUGCUCCUGAAUUCUCUCAGGAAAUCUCUGCUACCUAUCAAAUAAUAUAACUAGAAACCUAGUGGUCACACCUGACCCUUCUUUCCCCUCCCUCCAAAUCAAGUUCCUAAUUCCUGCUGGUAGCCCAUCGAACAAGUUCAAAGGAGAAGAGAAUUCUCUCUUGGCAGUUCAGUUAAGCAAAUAUUGAGCACCUCAUAUGCACUUAAAAUGAAUUAGAACUCAGUGUACAAAUUAAGUAGCCUACAAAUCUUAGAAAAUGCUAAACACCUACCAAUUUAUUCAUAUAGGUCAAAACACUUGGAGAAAUCACUGUAGAUAACUAAAAAUGUACCAGGAAUCAUAAAAAGGCAUUUCUAAGUUGACAAGGGCCAGCUUUUAUAAAUUUGGCCUAAAAUAGGAUAACAAAUAGCUCAAAUUCACCCCAAGUUGUGGCAGCCAGCUCCCAAGGUGGCCCUUCUGUCUCACCUCCUGGUAGUCUUACUCUUGCGCAGUCUCUUCCCACUGCACGGGGCUGACUGGACCGAUCAACGGCAUAUUGCGGAAAUGAUGGAGUCUUGCUACAUUAACCCUGGGUGGGUGGGGAGCUAGCUGCAUGAGGACAUCCCGUCAGUCCAACGAAGAGGUCCACUUGGCUGGGACUGAGGCUUCCUGCCAACCACCAGCACCAACUCCCAGGUGUGUGAGUGAGCCGUAACAGCAGAUGCCCCAGCCUCAGUCAGGGUCCUCAUGGCCACAGUCUUCUGAGACUUACACCAGACCACUAAGCCACUCUUCAGAUCUUGAGCUCGUUUAACUGUAUUAAUGUUUGCUUUAAAUGGCUACAUUUGGACCCUCAUGUAAGAAAUGUGGGAAGCCCUGUAGCACAAGCAUUCACAUUAUUGACCAAAUGAAGACACUCUGAAUGUAAUGACUAUGGGAAAGUUCUGAAAGUUCUCUCAACUUUUACAGAUAAGAGAAUUCAUUCUGGAGAGAAAGUUCUACUGAAUGAUAUCAGUAUUGGAAAGUCUUCCAUUUCUUCCACAUGCCUUAGAAAACUUGAGAACUCACACUGCAAAGGAACUUGUGAAUAUAAAGAAUGAGGGACAGCCUUUACCAAUCUCUUACAUUAGAAAAAAUACACAAAAACCCUGUCUGGAUGCAAAAUCUCUAAACGUAACAGCACUGGAAAAACUGUCAGUGAUUCCUGUCUUCACUGACACGUGAGAACUCAUACUGGAGGGGACCCUAGGAAUGCGAUCAAUGUGAUGAAGUCUCAGCCUCAGUUUUGCAGUGAGUGGCCACAAAAUAUACUGAGAACAAAAUGUACAAAUAUUGUUAAGUACAGGAUAAACUUUAUUAAUAUCCCAUUCUUAGUCUGGGCCAAUAGCUCAUUCCAUUUGUCUUUUUUGUUUUAGAUAAACCUUGAUGUCUACAGCUAUCCUCUAAAAUUAACCUUAAAUCACAUUCUUGAAAAAAUACUAAAUAAACUACUAAGCUUUGGGGGUAAUUUGUUAUGCUACAAUAGAUAAUACCACAUAGAGUUCCCAAGACACGUGGAAACCUACUCAACUAUGCAUGAAAAUUUUGUCCUCCGACUUUAUCUGUUGGAACAGGGAAAACAGACUCUUGGCUGUGGGCAGCCAAGAGGUUGAAAAUACCUAAGAAGUUAUUUUGAGGAGUACUCCAUAAAUCAAUCCCUGUGGGAGAGCUGAUGAUUUCCAACUAUGGGGGUCAGAGGUCCUCCGGUGUAGAAACUGGCGACCAGACCAAGCACCCUGAAGGUAUCAACUUAUGAUUGUAGAGGAGUCAUCCAGGCACUGAAGACCCCAACUCAGACUUCCUGAUGUCUCUCUCUCCCCUAGUACUGGCCACAUAUUUGGUUUUCUAGACCACUUUGGUCAAAGAACAGGCAACAGUAACAUCCCAAUUUAUCUUUACAUUCGUUAUUUCCUACUCCUUUCACUUCAGGUACCACUGAGUGAAGCUAAAAUAGCCAGUCCAGAGAAAUUAUACCUUCUUGGGCUGGCCGUUAUACCUCCACCAGUCUUUAUAUAACACGGUGUGGUACACAAAAAAUCUGUUGAUUGCGAAUUAUGCGUAAAGGUCUAGUUUUGUUCCUUUCCAUAGCACAACAUGGUUGCUGUUCCGUAAAGGAUAACUUUAAAUGCUGUUUAAAGCAUGCUACCAUUUACCUCAAUAUCUUGGUGCCUUCUGCUCUAUCAUUUUGGAAUACACCCUUCUCAGACACCACUACUCCUAAAAUUCUGGCUUACUUCAAGUAUCAUCUCCUAUCCUAAUUUUUUACCACUUCCUACUGGCAAAUUGUUACCUGACCUCACACAAGAUAGGUUAACUGCUAUUAAUUAGAAACCUCACAGAUCAUUAAGCUAUACUUCUCUCAUGUUAGGAUAUCAUAUUUGCUUUCUGCCCACCUAGUCCUCCCCCGGAGAAGGCGAUGGCACCCUACUCCAGUACUCUUGCCUAGAAAAUCCCAUGGAUGGAAGAGCCUGGUAGGCUGCAGUCCAAGGGGUCGCUAAGAGUCGGACACGACUGAGCGACUUCACUUUCACACUUUUCACUUUCGUGCAUUGGAGAAGGCAAUGGCAACCCACUCGUGUUCUUGCCUGGAGAAUCCCAGGAUGAGGGAGCCUGGCGGGCUGCAAUAUAUGGGGUCGCAGAGAGUCGGACAUGACUUAAGCGACUUAGCAGCAGCAGCAGCAGCAGUCCUCUCCACCAAACUAUGAACCAAAGCUCAGAACCCAAGUUUCCCACAAUUAGGCCAUAGUUGGAUGAUGAAAGACUCGAGCCUAGGCGUCCCAGUCUCCCGAGUUUCCUAUGUGCCUGCUCUCUCUUAGUCUAUCCUACUGUUCACUGGUGUAUUAUAUCAUUUACUCAGAUACUUCCACCACUAUGCCCUUCAUUCUCGGAAGACACCUAGAAAUGAUCAAAAUGUUUUAAUUCAACUGGAAGAAAAUGUCCACAUCCUCUCAUUCUGAUGUUCAUUCAUCUAUUCCCUGCUAAAUAUUAUCAGCAUAUUGAAAAGUCACCCAGAAUUUUUAUAGAACACUACCAAAGAAUGAUCGCUAUUAGCAUUCUAUUUACAUAAGCAUUCUCAACUUACAGCUGCCUCUUUCAACUCAAAAUGAAUAUUCUCUUCUCCUUUAGACAUCGUUACAUGAAGAGUUUAAAGACUAGAUGAAAAAGCUCAGGCACAGUAAGACUAGUGUUAAAUGAGGCACUAUGACCUUGAGAAAGCAAAACACCUUGUUUGCUGCUGAUUGGACACUGCCAGUUGAAUCAAGUUAAAGCUCAUAUCCUGUUUAUUUUGUAGGUGUCCAAACAUAAUCUAGAGCCUGUUACCCAUCAUCACCUGGGAGCUUAUCAGAAAUGUAGACUCUCAAAUGGUACAACCACUUUAGAAAGUUUUGAAGUCCCUCAAAACGUGGAACUUAAUCACAUAUGACCUUAUGACCAAAAUCUACUGUACAACAGUGUGCCCACAGUUAAUACUGUACUGUGUACUUGAAAAUUUAUAAGGCUAGGUGUCGCCAUGUUGCUCUAAUUUCUUAAAAAGCUAUCGUGACCCAGAAAUUCCACUCCUAGUUAUUUUAACAGAAAUGAAGACCCGUCUUAACCGAGAUGAAAACGUGUCCACAAAAUUUUGCACACAAAAUGUUCACAGCAUUAUUCAUAAGCCAAAAGGUAUAUAAGGUAUAAAUGACCCAAACGUUCCAUCAACUGAUGAAUACAUAAACAAAAUGUGGCAUGUCCAUACAAUGGAAUAUUAUUUGGCCAUAAAAAGAAAUUAAGGACUUGAUAUUUUACAACAUGAAUGAAGCCUAAAAAUAUUCUAAGAAGCCAGUUACAGAAUUCCACAUAAUGUAUGAAUCCAUUUAUAUGAAAUAUCCAUAAAAGGCACGUCCAUAGAGACAGAAAGCAGAUUAGUGGUUGCUGAAGACUUGGGGUAGUGGUGGAGGUGAUGAAUGGGAGUAAUUGUGAAUGGACACAGGGUUUCUUUUUUGGCAUGAUGAAAAAUGUCCUGAAUGAAAGACAGUGGUGAUAGAUGCACAACUGUUAUGCUAGAAACAACAAACAAAACCCACUGGAUCGUACACUUUUAAGGAUAUAAUUUUAUGUCAAUUGUAUUUCAAUACGUUAUUAAAAAAAACAAGAACUGUAGGUUCUCAGGCUGAAUCAGAAUCUGCAUUUUAACAAGAUCCCCAGGUGAUCCUCGUCUGCAUUCAAGCUUGAGAAGCACUGAUUCAGAAGAAAUACAGUCAAAAUUGUUUCUCCAGUUCAUCAUUAACUAUUAUGGGACAGUUAACUUGAUUUCACCAGGGCAGAUUUUUGUCACAAUUACUUGGGAUACACAAUCAACCACCACUGACAGUGAUUUUUAUAACAUUUGGUUUUUCCUUUGAAAAUUUGCAAAGUCUUAGUACUGAGUGGCAGCUUUAUUGAGCUAAGAGCAAAGCCUUGGCAUAUCUACUUUUCAAACCUGCAAUACUCAGUAUACAUUAGGCACUCCUACUUUCAGUAAACCACCAAUUUUGAAAAGGGUGGCAAUAACAUAAAAGUGACCAAAGGAGAUAAACCUCCAAAUGGGAAAUGAGACCAAAAAAACCCACUCACUUCAGAAAAUAGUUUAUUAAAGGUCAAAUCAGAUUUACAGAAAUAUAAAACAGGAUAGAGGUGCAGAGACUUCAAAGAAACUAUACAUACAAUAGGAAGUAAGUUACCUACCUGGAGUCCUCACAAGUUUUUCUUUACUAUGUACAGAGCCUAAUCUACUUUUUAAAAGAAUCCUAUGGAAAAAUCUCAGCAGUCGUAUCUUCUCACGAUUUAGCAGCUAAAGAAAAUGUCCACAUUCCCAAAAGAAAGAGGAUUGGACGUAACCCCAGAAGCUGUGUGCGCAUGCGCACUACUGCAGGGAGUGGCAGGAAGGGGAAAAUGCAGCGGUGAAGUCAUCACGCUAAAUGGCGUGAGCCGAGAGUUAAAAAAAGGGAAUUUUUGGCUCUCUGAAAAGUUUGGUAACUAUUAUCUAUGGUCUUCCUAUGCUACUGAAACUUUCCCUUUUAAAACUACCCAAGUUUUAUUCAGAAUCUGGAAUAUCUCGCAGGUACUCCUAGCCAGGUACUGCAUAUAAAUAUCACGCCCAAAUUGAGAGUCCAGGCACAAUUAGCCUGUCUGGGUUCACAUACUGGUCUUAGAUUAUAGCUGUACAAAGCUGAAUAAGGUAGUUAGCUUUUCUGCCUUAAUGACUUAAAACCAGUUUUAGUAAUAGCACCCAUCUUACAGGACAGUUGUAAUGAUUAAAAAACAUAUAUGUGAAGAGCUUAGAACAGUACCUGGAACAUAGGAAGUAUUUAGUAAAUGUCUCUCUCAAACACAAGCACUGGAUCUCUCAAAUACAAUUUGUCAUAUUUAAAUAGCAAGCUACAGAGGAUUUUUGAUUGGGAAAUGGAAUUAGUCUAAUUUUAUUAGAUUCGGAUUCCCAAAACUAAAAUUCUAACUAUUUUAUCAAUAAAAAAUUUAUUGAGUACAUGAACUGUGUGCUAUUCCAUUGUUUUACUCCGGGUCUGGCACAAGGCCUAUUACACAGAGAUUUACUAAAUGUGGAACAAUGUAACCUCAGUAAAUUUAAAAUUAUCUAUAAAAAUCAAUGUAGGUAAGGUUAACAGAGACCUAUAAAACCCAUUAUUUUAUUCUUGACUAUAUAUAAUGCAAAUAUAGUUCUGGUAGGAACUUAGAAGCAUUUGAAAAAUUUUCCAUAUAGUUUAAGGGGUAAAAUUAAAAUUCAACUGAAAAUAUUUUUUUUGAGAGGAGUUGAGGACAAAGCAACAAAAACUGGCAUGCUACACUUCAGUGCCAGUUCCAGCGUGACUGCCAGGAAGUAGAGGAAAAGCUUCACGCUGGCUGGAACAACUCCACCGUCUCCACAACCACUGAGAACCACACCAAACGAGGGCAAGAUUCCUGACGCUCAGAAUAAAGAAGCCAUCCACUUCUACUAACAUGUUCGUAGCUGGUUUAAAAAUACCUAAUAAAGUCUUUCUUCAAACCAGAUAUCUCACUUACCUUUCAGUACAUUUCCUAAAAACAUUACAGACAGACGUAAGGUUUAGUUGGUAAUUUCCAUGAACUCAGUUCUUUUCCUCUGACUGCAGUGAAGCUGACGUGACAAAGCAGGUUUGGGAACGCUAGAAAUGAAUUCCUACUUCCCCGUGCAUUCUUCAGAUUCAUUUUCCCCCAAAUUUCUGCAUGGUUGGCUUCCAUUUCAGCAUCAGUCACGAAAUCUUGAAGGUUAGACACAGUAAACAGGGAAGGACAUAAAAUUAAGUGACAUGGGCGUAGCUUUGAGUCUCACAAGUUUAACAGGGAUGAGUCAUACUUUAAAGUAUGUGAAAAUGAAUUAUAUAUUUUGUUCCUUUAUGAAAUUCAGCCCUUAGUCAAGCUAAAGGUAUCAGUUUGGUAUAGCCCAAAAUUCUGUUUAUUCCUUUAAUAAACGUUGAGUGAAAAAAUGUGUAAAUCCCAUGAAGACCAAAAUGCAAGUUGAUCAACUUACUGAGUUUGUACCAGAUUUAUUUUGCACUAUAAAUGUGUAAAGGAAAAAUAAUUCUAAGAAAAGUAAUGAAAAAUACUGGCAAAUUACUGAUUCUCUAAUUUGCUAGACAAAUUUGAAAUGGAUAUUCUACUUACGUUAUCACUUAAAGUUGGGGGCGGGAGGUGGGGGUAGGAAAUGAACCUUAUCUGAUUAUCAUUAGUACAAGCUUUAAAUUAAGACUUAUUCAAUUGCUUUCUUAGGAAAUUAGCAUUGAAAUUAACUUAGUAAGAGGGGAGGAAAAAAUACAUGUGGAAUUAACCACCAAGAAAUGUCUUUAAUGCUUUGCAAAAUCAACUGAAAACCAAAACGCUCUAUACUUCAAGUAGUCAGCAAACAAAACUAUUUUUCUUUGCUUCCGAUAAAUCACUAAACAGGUUUGUUGUACUCACAUACUGACACCUCAAUUCCCUCUGAUAGCCAAAAGUGACAGAAUCAGGUCACGACUUUGGGAAUGGAAAUGAGAGUAGGUAGAUUAGGGGAACUCAGGCUGACAAAACUUGUUUUUUAGGGGACUGGAAGAGAAAGUCAUCGGUAUGCCAUUAGUUUGAGCAUUCUGACCAUGUAUCAGGUAGUUAUCCUUGUGGAAUGGUUCUGGAUUCCGAAUGACACCUUCUUCCUCAAUGUACUCACUCCAUCACUGGCUGAACAAUCCACACUGGAGACCAUUUAAAAACGUGCCGUUUGUAAUAACCAUUACCUAUUUUAGCAGCUAGAAAGGCAAAACAAAAGUUAGCAUAUAAAACUAUCUUUAGGGACCAGGGCAGAAUACUAAUUCAAGAAAAAUGAACAUAAUGACCAGAGCAAUUUUUCAAAAAGUACAAUGAAUACAUCCGGUACCAAGGAGUUGGCUUUUGUUUUUAAGGGCGGGGGGUGGGGGAACAACCCUCAAAAUGUCUUUUAUUCAAAGUAUGGUCAAAAAAAAAAAAAAGUAUGGUCCAAGUACCCUCUUUCCUCCCUGCAAUCUGUUUUAGGAUUGGCAUUCAACACAUGGAUAUAAAAUAAUAUGGUUAGGUAUUCACUAAACAGGAAGGUGAGCCAGUGAAUUUACUGAUACUGCUCAACUAAAUAACAAACACUGGAAUCAAUACAACUUUCAUCCCAGAAAAGGGAAGUUUUGGAAGAAAAUCAUACAUAGCAACAGUUCUCCUGAUGCCAGAUUCUAAUAGUAAAGGGCAAGAGGGACUCAUGUUACCUACCCUUAACUUUAUGAAGAAAAAGCAAAGAUGAGUUUAAUAAAAAGAAAAGGAAUCACCAUUUAGAACGAUCUGAAAAGAGCUGAGAAAUUUUAUAAAACAGAGCAGGCUGUGUGAAUACUGGGUUCAAUGCUUAUUAGUUUGCAGUUAAGAAGUAGUAUUCAAACGGAAGAUAAAAUGUACAUAUAACUUUCUUUUCAGAGCAGAACACUGCUCAAAGCCAGGCAAUAGGGUAGAGCACUUGUGUUAAGCUGGUAUCUGGAAAUAAGGCAAAAAUAAAAUACUAUUUGCUGCAGGGUUAAGAUGCAUCCUGGAUUAGAUUUGUUAACCUAAGAGCCACGAGCUGGCAAGAGCAGACUUCUGUUCUUGAAGACAUUCUAGUUUGUAUUACAGUAUUUUGUUCUUGUAUCAGCCAACAAUUAUUAAGUUUCAAGGCCUGUAUUAAUAUCUUGCAGCUGACUACUCGUCUUACUUUAUGAAUUUUCAAGGUAAAUCUUACCUUUUAAGUCAGUGGUAACAACUAUACUACAAAACACUUCUAUUGUUUGUAUUUUAAGUCCUCUAACAUAUAUACUUAACCACAGCUUUACUGACAUCACAACUGCUCCUAUAGAUUUAAAAAGAGAAAGGGUAGGGAUAAACUGAGAAAUGAUUAUCAUUAUACCCAUUCCAUUAGACCAGCUGAAGAGAAUAAACCUCAAGAUACAAAGAGUUAAUUAUUUUGUUUCUCUUCAUGCCUGAAUUAUUUUAUUUCUCUUCAUGCCUGGUUUAUAAGGUGACCACUGGACAUAAAAAAUGGAGGUCCCAGCACAAAGUUUUCACAGGUAUUUUCAUCACUCAUUUGAAGUAAAUACCAAGGACACUGGCUAUCCAACCCACAUACAUGUUUGCGUUUCUAUGAUAGUGUAAGUAAUAAUCAAGAAUCACAUGCUGCUGCUGGUGCUGCUAAGUCGCUCAGUCGUGUCCGACUCUGUGCCAUCUCAUGGACUAUAGCCUACCAGGCUCUUCCGUCCAUGGGAUUCUCCAGGCAAAAGUACUGGAGUGGGUUGCCAUUGCCCUCUCCAAUACACGAGUCAUACUCUAAUCGUAACAGCCAUAUUUUUCUGGCCUACACCAAAUCCAGCUACACUUUUAAGUGCUUACAAGGUUCUUUAGCAAUUUAAAACACAUAAAAUGAGUAACAUUCUUAUUUUAUUUAAACCAAAUAUCCAGUGUCCCUGACUGAGGUGGGCUCAAUAACCUGUCUUUCAAAAAUGGUACACUUGAUUCAUAUAUAUUUUGAAUCAAGCUUUUCCCAACACUUUCACUUAGUUCUCGCAAUUUGGUUCUCCAGUCAGGGACAAAGCCAAGGGCAAAACUGAACCUGUAGACUAGGCCUGGCUAACACUGGCCACCAGCUGUGACGUGGAAAGCUCUCCCCAUCCGGGAUGCCCUGGAUGUAACAGUAAACAAAGGGUCCAGUGUAAACUAUGUCCACAAAAUGGAGAUUCCUGUCGUCUUAGCUCAGGAACAUUCAUUUUAAAAGUUAACAAGGUGUUAUGAUUAUUUUAGCUGUGCAAUGUGAAAUAAUAUCAAGGGAGUAAGAUACCAGGGAACUUCCCUGGUGACCCAGCAGUUAAGAACCCACCUUCCAAUGUAGGGGAUGCAGGUUUGAUCCCUGUUCUGGGAACUGGAUCCCACAAGCUGUGAGGCAACCAAGAGUGCCCCAACUACACCCCAGCGCAGCAAACAAACAAAAAAAAAGGGAACCAGAAAAAGAAUUCUUGAACGUAAUUUCAACUUUUUUAUACAAAAUUUCCUGAUAAUCAAAAGUCAUCAAAGGGCCCUUCAACAAGUCUUAUCCUAUCCACUGGCUGAUGAUGGUGAAGGUGAUCAGAUUCAGGAAUGUUUACAGAUUUUUCCUUUGGAGUUGUUGUUGCUCUUGGACUGAAUGCCAUCAAAGCUGUUACGACCUGGAUACAGAGCAUCUGCUGCAAACCUGUGUCUCCAGCCUGGCUUCCCAUUUUUUCCCAAGUGCAUACUUGAGGAAUGAAAUACUCAUUUCAUGUUAGCUGUGAGUAAACCACACUGGAAGCAAAUCAGACCACAAAUUACUUAAUAUCUCCUGCCUUCCUGAUGCUGACCCUACUCCAUUUCCUGCAGCUUUCUAUUUUCAAGAAAACAUUUCCCUGCAUAUUUCUCUUCUCCCAACAUUUGUGGGCUUUGCCCACCCCAUCCUCUACCCUUUGAAAAAGACAUCAAGCUAAGCUCCUGGAAAUUUCAGGGAAAAAAACAUCAGUGUUGAAACUAGAGGCAUAGCUUCCCUGGUAGCUCAGACGGAAAAGAAUCCGCCUGCAAUGCAGGAGACCUGGGUGUGAUCCCUGGGUUGGGAAGAUCCCCUGGAGAAGGGAACAACUACCCACUCCAGUAUUCUUGCCUUGAGAAUUCCAUGGACAGAGGAGCCUGGCAGGUUACAGUCCAUGGGGUCUCAGAGUCAGACACAACUGACUAACACUUUCGCUACUACUACUCAAAAGAGUAAAUACUACUUUCCAUGUACAUUACCCAAAGGGUCAAAUUUAAAAGGUCGCAACUGAUCUGAUUGGCACCCUCUCCCCUUUCUUCUUGUCUCUGGUUCCAACAAGGAACCUUAGAAACCAUGGUCACUGGCAGACUGUCAGGGACAAAGUGAAUGCACGCUUUACUCAUAAGUGUGGGGACUCUGACUCCACGUUUCUCUAAGAGAAAACCUGGAUUUGAAUGAACUUUUGCCAACGACUGUGAAGUAACCUGGAGUGCCACUCUUAAAAGUAAGUCAACAUAACAUUUCCAAAUGUCAACAGCCACACUUAUUUUUAUAUACCAGAUGAAUUUCCUACUUACAACAAGCUAAUUCCAAAGAUGCUUUACAAUCUUUAUUUCAGAUUGCUAUCAAUCAGCACCUUCUCUUUACCUCUAGUUUUUCUUUUUCCAAGUAAAUUCUCCAACAGUCUAAUGGUUCUACCUGAUACCCUGGGUGAAAUUCUUAAUUUGAUCUUGCUAAAUUAGGCUACUAUAAAAAAUAUAUAAAAUGUGGAACUUAAAGAAAAAUAUAUUCUUGGAUAAGAAGAAAUCAUCUCUAUCACUGUUAUAGUCUGUGGAAUUUUAAACUGAGGAAGCAGUUAAACUGUGCUAUUUUAUAGAUGAUGGUGAAGUCUUACAAAAAAAAAAACAUAAUCUUGGGAGUUCCCUGGUAGCCUAGUGGUUAAGAUUCUGGGUUUUCACUGCCAUAAUCUGGGUUCAAUCCCUGGUUGGGGAACUGAGAUACUGGAAGCUUCAUGGCAUGGCCAAAAAAAACAAGAUUUUUUUCUGUAUCUUUUAAAAAGACUGCCAUCAGAGCUUUGUUCUCAGAGAUAUGAUUAUCAAAACAAAAUAGGAAAAGAGAGAAUAUAUAUUAUUCAUACACAGAAACUCAUGUUCUCAACUUACUUGGCAGACUAACCUAGUCAUUUUCAUUCAUUAGAAAGUUCUACUCCAAGCAAAUGGAGUUUAAGCAAACAUCAAGUAACUUUAAGUAAAAAAAGAUAAUGCACACAUUUAGUUUUCAAAGAACACUUGUUUGACAGGAAAAUGUGUUAAAUUUUUUGGUGUCACUAAAAUUUUUAAAAGUGUGGCAUUUAUGUUUCUAAAUUAAAGAAUGUUUUAAAACAACUUCAUGAACAGACAAAGGAAUAUGGCACUUCCUAGGCUUUGUCUUUUAUCAAGUCUAGUCACAGAAAAGAACUUUACAAAAACAUGCAGGGUUCGCCUUGGCACACCAGGGUCAGAUAUAUGAGAGACACAAUAUGGAGUUUAUAUUCAGUGAGGACUCUGGGGAAGUUGGAAAGCAUUUCAGACACAGCAGCAGUAAAGCUCGAUUCUGAUAAAUCUAAAAUGUGCUUUAGAUGAAUAUUUGUUACCUACUUUAUAAUUAAGUAACUCAAGCACUGCAUAAAAUCUUACACAGGGAAAAUGUUUUAAAGUUCUAAGUACUUCCUAAUGUAAUAUGAAACCAUCUUUCUUUUUAUGUGAAGGAUUAGAUAAUUGAUGUUAUGUUUAGAAAUAUAAGAGAACUGAAAUAUCCAUAAUUGUUUGGGCAAAACCAAACCAUUUAAAUUGUUCUAAUUUUCAAACUGAACACAGCAAGUAGGCAACUAAAGGAAAGGACUUCAUAACCCUAAUGUCAGAAAAUGUUUCAUAUUAUACUUUUUACCUACGUCCUUCUUCAAGUCUGAGGGCUCCAAAACAUGCUAGUGAAAAAAAAGAUCAAAAUUAGCAUUAAUGUAAGGAUUUUCAGUCAAUAUUGCAAAUAGAAUCACCAGGGGAAAAAAGGUCAGAAUAAAGAAAACUCAAAUAUGUGACUUAAUGAGAAACCCUCGAGACAUACAAAAUCAAACUGCAUUACUUACCAAACCUCUACACCAUCUCCUGAUAAAUAUCCAGGGAAAAAAUGUGAGCGAUCUAAAACGUAUCAUAAACAGGCAGAGAAAACACUUUAACAGCCCUCCCCAUUUCAGUUCAAAAUGAAAAAUUUCAAGACAAAACAUAGGUCAAUAAAGUACAAUUAUUUUGAAGCCUCUGAUACAAUUGCUACAUUUAUGAAUAAACUUCCAAUUUACUGCUCCUGAGGAUGCUGAAACAUUUUGAAAAGGGGGAAAAAUAGCAGAACUUAGAGGGGGGAAUCUACGGAACAUGUGGUAGGGGCACGCUGCAGGGAGGAAAGGGAGAGAGAAAACACCGAAAUUAAAAAUAAAAACCUUUCUCUACUUUACUCUGGAGCUCUAUUUUUUUCUCUUCUAGUUUAGUGAGAUCCACGGCUCUAUUUCUGAACAGACCAGAUCUUUAGUAUUUGAAUGAAUCAUGAUUCCACUACAAAUGUCCUUGCCUCUCCAUUUCCUCAUCUGUAGAUGCGAAGGUGCGUAGAUUAAGAGAACGCCUGAAAAGCACUUUUUCAGCAGCAGCUGACACACAGGAAGCACUUAACAAAUGCUAGCCAGAGGCAUUAAACAGAGUACAUAUUUACUCAAAUUUUACUUCCUCAAUGGCUAUUAUUUUUUAUUUUUGCAAGGCAAAAAGCAAGGAUCUCCCUGAUGGGCUCUGUGAAAGGCUGGAAUUUGAGCCCAGGCUUUGCCAAUGUAUCUAAUGAUACUUAACUUUCAGAACAGCUUCAGGCAAAUUUUUUCAAAUGUUCUUUAGGUAGAAGUAGCUGAUCCAAAUAUGAGGUAGCACUCUUCCUGCCUGGCAUCAAUUAUUACUAUUAAUAAUAGGAGAUGGAAGGCAGUAUACGAUAUAUUUUUCUGCACACACAGUGUUACGUAUAUGUUAAAAGUGGUGAACUGACUUUUCAGGUUUGCUGUGGGGAUAAUCAAGGUGGUUAGACUCUACUUGGAAGUACAAAACCAACUUAACCUCUUUUAUCCCAUUCCUCUACAAAAUUACAGAUUUUGUAUAUAAAGAAGCAAACAAGUAUCAAUCACAAAAUGUAGAAAAUAUUCAGUGAUGCUAAGGACAGGGAAACAGAAGCAUACAACAGCAAAUAAAAUUUCACAAAUUUAAACCUUAUAUUGUAGAAUACACCAUCUGUUUUUAGCUUGUAAUUCAAAACUCCCCACAAUAAAUCUAACCUGAAGAAAAUGCUUUGCCUCUCGCUCUAAAAAGCAAAAUAAAUUUCUACAGGAAGAUAAAAAGUGAAAAUAAGUUUUUAGCACUAAUACUUGCUUUAUUACAAACUAGCUGUACAACCCUGGCUAUGUCAUUCAAUCUCUCUGGGCCUCAGUUUUCCCACUGGCAACAGGGAUCCUAGUGCCUAACAUGGGGGUUCCUGUGAAUGUUAAAGAUGAUAUAAAGUACCGAGCUGCAUGUAACUGGUGCACAGUAGGAACUCAAUGAAUAGGAGAUACUGCUUGACCAGUAUGAGAGGUGUUGGAAUAUCAAGUCAAAAAUUCAAAAUAUCAACAAGUCUUUUUGUACUUUAAUUUCCCCAGGAAGAGACAGAGCAUCCAACAUAGGAGGCAGGUCUGACACUUUGUCUAAGGGAGGCUAUCACCAUGACUGAAGUGCAGAUUUAGACAGUCUCACAAGUAUGGAUGACUACUGCAAUACGGACAUGUACUGCAAUAAUACAAUAGUACCUUUGUUUUCAAAAAAUACAAGAGCAUGUGAAAAAUCUACGCAUCCACCUGUUCAACUUUUAGGCCGAGACUGGCCAACUAGGCUGUUUUUCUACUGGUUAGUCUGUGUGCUUUCAAGAAGUGGAAUUCUGAAAACUUUAAAGCAAAAGAUUGCUCUUUAAUAGUCAAGAGCAGAGAAUUUUAAAUUCCCUUUGAGUCACUUGGUUCAGCCUCAAAACCCGAUGCAAACUCCUAAAUUCAUAUGACUAAAUCUAAGCCUUCUGCAUUUUCUACUUACAGAUUGUUACCCACUGCAUCUAGAUAGUAAGUUUCAGUACAGCUUCGUUGUCAAAUUGCCACUUAAGUGACUCCAAGUAUUCCUUGAAGUGGGCCACUGGUUGAAAUCUAUAAAUCAUUAUACAUGGCAAUCUUCAAAGUUCAACCAUAUAUCCCUGUUAUUUUUAUGAAUGAUAUAUAACAUUCCAAUCCAUGUCUCUCUAGAAAAUGGAGUAAGCUCCAAAGUAAUUGCUAAGUAGUAGUGAGUUACAGCAAGGUGGACAAAGGCAGUGUAACUUUCCUAAGGUUAACAGUAAAGGCUUGAGCAGAAUCAGUGUCAGAAUGGGAAAGGAAUAAAAGGUUUGAAAGGAAAGAUUAAGAUGCCUGGGAACCAUAUAAAAGGUCUCAAAUGUCAAGAAUUUAGACUUGACACCAUGAUGUAAUGGGAAUGUAGGUAUUUGUGUGGUAAUUAUUACGGCAAUUGUAUAGGACACAGAAGUGAGAGACAUGAAGAAAAUUAGGAAGAGAGUUGUAACAAACUAGAAACUGACUUCUUAGACACACAGCAAUGCCUCCAAACCUGUGAGUCUUAGAUUUAGGGAAACAUCAAGCCAACUAAAUGUGAAUUUCCUCCGUUAAGAGAUUAGCUCCAUAAUGGGAGAAGACUGCCUUGUGCCCACUGUAUACUUUUAUUCUUUAGAACAUUAUUUAGCAUAAAGGUGGCUCUCUAAAAGUAUAGUCUAAAUCUGAGUGUAAAUGCUAUUGUAAUUAAAUAAUGCACUUAAAAAGUAUUGCUGAAUUCCCACAAUCUUUUAACACAAAAUUUCCAAUCAAUUAACGUAGUCAAGUACAAUCAUUAGUUCCCAUGGCUAGUCUGAUAAAUGUCUUCUACAUUUAAUCCUGCAAGAGUAAGAACUACAAUCCUAGGAUAAUAGAGAAAGUAAGCAGAAGACCUCAUAGAAGAAUCAGUAUGACUUAAUCAACAGAAAAUCCAACAGAACAACUAUUAAGACUGCAACCCGGAAGAUCAAAAUGUGCUCCCCAAACAAGUUAAUUCUUUCAUGGUUAUGUAAGAAGGAAAUGGCAACCCACUCCAGUAUUUUUGUCUGGAGAAUUCCAUGGACAGAGGAGCCUGGCAGGCUUUACAGUGCAUGGGGUCGCAAAGAGCUGGACAUGACUGAGCAACUCCCACUCACUAUGAAAGAUUUUGUUCCCUUUGCCAGAUGCUGCCUCUCGUUAUCCCCAGUACCAGCUGAGUGCCAGGAACCCACGUCCUCACUAGAUGUUUGUUAAGUGACUGGCAACUGUUUUUUAGCAUUAUCAAGUUUCAUGUGAUCUGGAGAUACAUAUGAGAUUACAGGCUGCGAGUGAAAUUAAGAGAUAUAAAAUCCAGUGGCCCUAACAGUGGUUAAAGUCCCUAAAAAGGGACAAAAGACAAAGGAAGAGGGCAUUACAAGGAACAAGGAAAUAACACGCAUAGUGGAUCAGAGCCAACAAGACAGAAAAGUUCUGAAAGUUUCUCAAACUGCAGCAAAAUUAACAAGAUGAUCAAGAAUAACGAUAAGGGGAGAAAAGGGCAACUGAAAUGGCCUUUAGAUCACUGCUGUCAUUAGCAACACUGGUUUUGACUGAGCAGCAAUUAAAAUAAUCUGUAAUUAUGAAUCUCGUGGGCAGAACACAGCUGGAUGAAACCCCAAAGCAACUGUGGGCACUUUGGCUUGUCAGAUGUCCAUUCGGAAUUCUGAACUUGGUCCUGGUGCUAAGUACAACUAGAGCCAGAGUGACUUUGAUUAACACCUUCCACGCCGUAAGUACCAGCUCUGCUACUGCAGAAGUGUUUAUUCACCAGCCAUAUAUACAUACAUGGGCUGUUCCUAAUAGUGAAGCUAUUUCCCCAGAGACAACAGGCAAUCAGAAUGCCAUUCAACUUUGCUUAUGCACACUACACACAAGCUUCUUUCUCUGGGAAUCAAGGUACGUGGAAAACAAUAAGGCAGUAAAUUCUGGCUCCUCUAUCUUUAAUCACCUAGCCUGAGCAAAUUAUGAGUUACAAAGUAAAACGGAAACAACAACUUUUGUCUAAAACACACACACACAAACAGAAAAAUAACAACUGCAGGUAAUCAGAAUGAUGUUAGGGAAAAAAGGAUAAUCAAUAUUACACAAAGCCAUGGUUAUAUAUACACCCAGCAUACUUCAUGACCUUCCAGCAGCCACUUCAAAGACAUAAAAGAAAGCCAGGGAAGGUACAAAACAGGGCAGUUAAGAAGUGUUCACAAAAAUAAAGUGGCUUUUACCUUCAAAGAGUAAGAACUCCAAUCUGGAAAGAAAGUUAAGAUGAUAAAAUUGAGUUCCAUGUAAAAUCACAGUGAUUACAGAUAAAAUACCACAGUCUGGCUCCAUUUUAUUCAAAGAAACUUAAAUCCUGAAACAUUCACUAGAAAAUGUUCUAAAACUGGUAAAAAGAAAUCUCCUAUCACAGAAUGUUUAGUAAACUUAUGACAAAAGCCACAAGUACAAAAAAAAAGUUAACAGUAAAUAGGUUUAAGAAGGUUCAAUUGAUGAAGGCUACACUAAGCAAUAUUUACAGAAGAGAAGUUUCUCAGUUAUUCCAAGGCUAUCAUUAAUCUUACUAUCACAACACAAAAUAAUUCUUACACUGCUGUUUCUAUGAAAAUAGUCUUCAACCCCACCCAUAGUUCUGGGCUGGGAAAACUAACACUCCCUAUUAUUCAACAUUUCAAAGAAGCCCAAUAACAAUUAAUGGGUACAUAAUUGUACGAAGAUUGCAUAUAGUGAGUAAAAGCCAGGAAGCAAUACACACAGAGGUGGUUAAAAUGUGAGCUCUGGUACCAGACCAACCUGGGUUCAACUUGACUGGUCACUUCUAGUCAGGUGGCGGCCUUGGACCACAACGUCUGUUUUCACAUUUUUCCUUACUUUAUAGGGUUACUUUGUUUCGGUUUAGUCACUAAGUUGUGUCCAGCUCUUCUGUGACCCCAAGGAUUGUAGCCCACCAGGCAAAGAUACUGGAGAGGGUUGUCGUUUCCUUCUCCAGAUCUUUCCAAUCCAGGAAUCGAAUCCACCUCUCCCGCAUUGUCAGGCGGAUUCUUUACCACAGCGCCAUUAGGGAAGCCCCUUACAGGGUUAAUAAGUUUAAAUUUAAGAUGACGAUAGCCAGUUGGAAAUAUUCAACGUUAGCUCUUCUGUCAGGUUUGCCUCUGACUGAAAUUACAACCAGUUCAGUGUGUUAACCUCAGUUCUCUCUUACUAAAAAGUUCUGGCUAGCAAUUGUAGGUCUUACAACUUAAAAAGAAAAUGUUCAUAAGGGAAAAAGAAUAAGAGUGUAUUAUCAGAGACUAAAUUAAGCAGUUUUGUUAAGACAUAACGGAGUUUGAAAAAGCCUGACCUCAUGAAGGGUCUUAUGAGUUACAGGCAAUGGAGAAAAGUUAUUUUUAGUAAAUCCAUUCCAUUUGAACAAAGCAACAUGUGUAUGUCUAUCUUUAGGGAGGUAAGAAAUAUUUCAAAGAACUGCUCAUUAUUUCAGUCCUGACGAGGAAUUUCUCACCUAAAGGCUUAGUUGUCAGUAAGGGGAAAAAGAGAUAAAAACGUAAGGAGACCUACCUUCACAUUUGUUCUGUCAGAUUCAUACGGUCACUCCAUCUCUAUGUUUUAAAGUUUGAACUGUAUGAUGAAAAUUCUUAAAAUCAAGUUACUCUGAUCGUAUCCAGUGGAUACUAAACUUCAGUUUAAAAAUUCAUGAUAUAUACAUUUCACAAGCUUUUCUCUCUAGGAGAAAUCUAAAUCAUACAUUGUUCAUGUAUUCCAAUUAUAAGCUGAGCAUUGCAUAACCAGGAAAGAAUACCUUUCAAACUUUCAAAGGUGUUUUUUCUGGAAGAUUUGGUUUGAUUAUUACUAUUUAUAAAUAGUAAAAUCAACCCUGAGUAUUCACUGGAAGGUCUGAUGCUGAAGCUCCAAAUACUUUGGCGACUUGAGGCAAACCAGCCAACUCACUGGAAAGGACCCUGAUGGUGGGAAAGACUGAAGGCAAAAGCAGAAGGAGGUGACAGAGGAUGAGGUAGUUAGACAGCAUCACCGACUCAACAGACAUGAAUUUGAGCAAACUCCUGGAGAUAGCAGAGGACAGAAGAGCCUGGUGUGCUGCAGUCCAUGGGGUCGCAAAGAGUCGGACAUGACUUGGCGACUGAACACCACCAUCACCAUUUAUCAAUCUAUUAUUGCCUCUUGGAAUCCUCUCUAAAUUCUGAGGAUAAUGAUGACUUAAUAUUUUGUAUUUCUAACUUCUGAAACUUAAAACAUUCAGCGGUUGUAAAAUGAAUGGAAAACAUCAAUUAUCAACGUUAGGGACAAGACUAGACUUAACCUUUUCAAUAAACAGUUGACUUCUAGCUAAUUACCUAGAUUUGGUUGAUAAUGUAUGAGAUGAAUCUAUUUAAUUAUAUCCCUUCCUUAUUAACAGGUUGAUCAAGAUGUUACUGUACUUUCUGAAAAGAAAAAGAAAAGUUAAUUACUUUUAAAAUACUUCCCAAAGACAAAUUCCAGUAUGGGGAAUUUUUGGUCAUUCCUACUGUAAUACUGAAAGCCCAUACUACAGAGAAAGCAAUUGUAUAUUCUGUAGUUUUUUUAAGACAAAAAAAAUCAUAUAACUUUAAUAAAGAUAAGACUAAAGUUAAUUUUCAAUACCACGUCAUGAUGAAGUUUCAAUUUGGGUCUGCUAUUAUUAAACAUUUCUUCCAAAUACCUAUUGGUAAACGAGAUCACAUAAAUUACAUACUGAGAACCGAUGCAAGCAUUCAGCUGCUGGAAUAGUUCAUCAAACUUCUUUCUUCAAGGCUUCUACACUAUACAUUUAUAGACUGAAAUACGCUGCCCUAGACAGAAUCUCUAGGGCAGAUAGAAGCCCUAUCAUUGCUUUGAUCUGCUUUGCAGAUUUAAAUGUAAGGCAACACAAAAAUUGAUAUAAAAUGAGGUAAUAUUUCAAAUCAUUAAUAAUCUUCUGGGGAAUAGUCUACACCAAGCUAAACUAAUCACGUGAAAUUCAGCUAAAGACAGCUAGUUAUCUUAGAGCCAGAUCACCUGAUCAGUUAUAAGCUCAAGGAUGAUAAAUAUAAAGCCUUCAGCUAGUCUCCUAUAUAGCGUCAUGUUACUGUCACAGUGACCUUAAAUUCAGGACUGGUAGGUACUGGGAAUCCCUGAUUCUAAUCUGAAAUACCACAUUAUUUUUAAGCAAUGCACCAAAUUACAGAGAAUUCUAGAAGCAGGAUAUACAGAAUUCUAGAAGCAAGACACUGCAGUCCUUAAUAGGAUUUUAACACAAAUACUGGUAUCUGUUUACCUAUAUACUUUUUUUUUAAUAUGGCUCAGAUUUUCAUGAAACACAACAGCAGAAAAACCUGAAUAAUCUACCAUUUUUCUUUUUUAUUCAGGGAAGAUAACAUUUUAUCCAAGAGUGCAUAAGGAAAAUAGGAUCUUCAUAUGACCAAUCUUGGAGCUGAGCAUACUGGCUUCUUUUAUGUGUUAAGUCUGUAUUUUGCACACACGCCUGCACUCACACAUAAACACUCACUGAGGUUUGGAAAGUGAAGGCCUUUAACAAACUUUUCCACCACGUCCUUGAAAAACACAGGACUAAAAAUCAAAUGUUAAAAAAUGGGGAUGACUUAAUAUUAACAACACUUUAAAAACACUUAAAUACUAGUAUGGAUCAAACUUAGUGAUGAAGAUUAAUUUGAAUUUUGUGAAUAAAAAAAGUGAAAUUUUAAAAUCUGAAGUCAAUCCAAAUGUGGCAUUUCCUUUUCAAAUCAACUGUUUUAAGUCUGCUUAAUAAAAAAUGGCUUUUCUGGAGACCAAAAUUCAGUAUAUUUUGGCCUGAGUAUAACUGAUGAAGAAAAACAAAACAAAUGGCAACUGAACUACCAAUAUCACUCACACACAAAAUACUGGUAAUCUAUUUCAAUCUAGAAUAAAACUACAGUUGACCAUUGAACCCACACACAUUGGAACUGCACUGGUGUGCUUACACGUUAAUUUUUUUUCAAUAGUAAAUACUAGACAGUACUAUAUGACCUGUGGUUGGUUGAAUCCGAGAACACGGAAUGGGCAUAUAUGGAGGAACCAUGUAUAAGUGAAUUUUCCACUACAAGGAGGGUUGGUGCCCUAACCCGUGUUGUUCAAGUAUCAAUGCUACUUUGAAUUCAAAUUAGGUUGGUUUCAUUUUAGGCACAGGUUAAAGACCUUUAAAGUAAACACAGAACUAAACAUUUAAGUCUAACCUGACAUUAUUAGGUCUAUUCCUAACCUAGUGCACACUCGGAUUUCAGGCAGAACAGGGUUUAAAUCCUGGCUUUGCCACUUUACAGGUAGUGACCACUAGCUAUCCAUAAAAUAUACUUAGUCUCGGAGUUCCUCAUAGGUAAAGUAAGGACAAUAUCACCUACCUUUUAGGGCUGUUGAUUACAUGAUACACAAAGUGACUCAUUAGCACAAUGCCUGGUAACAAGGUAUACCAUGUUAGUAGCUUAUAAUUAACCUACCAUAAAGACAUGCUUGGCAAAAAAGAAACAGAAUAUUCUUUUCCAUACUUCAUCUAUAAUAUUUUUUUCAUUUUUAAAACAAAGGUCUGGAGUUCAAAGAAAGGUAUGUUAUGAGUUAUCAAGGACUACUACCUCCAAGUCUCUAUCUAAAAAAGGAUACACCUGUCAUUUCUAUCUUUGAAUUUCCCAUCUGUUGAUCUUAAUCCAUUUGAAAAAUAAAUUAUUUUUCAAGUCAUCUGUAACGAUUUUCUCCCUUAAUCAGCUUUAAUUUUUUAUCAUCAAAAGUUUACUUUGAUCUGAUUAAUGAAUGCUAACUUUUAAAAGUCAGAAAUUAAAAAAAAAAUACCACCACCAAAGGGGUGUUCUUUGUGACCUGUUAGCCUUUCCUUUCUGAGCUUUCAGAAGUUAUUUUUAUCUUUUAUGACUUGUAACUGUUUUCUGAUCUAAUUCCUAAAUAAACAUGCGAUGACACUUCCUCAGAGACUUAGGCUUUUUUUGCUUUUUCCUUAUUAUCGUCCAUCAAUUCCCUAAAACUAUUAAUGCCUGAUUUCCUAAACUCAUUUCAUUUUCUUGCAAACUAAGCUACUAACCUUUCCUUGGGAUCCUAAACACUAUUAACAUUUGUGGCUGACUGUUAAACGUUUUUAAUCUCCAACUAGAUCCACUGAGACCAACUAGUUUGUAAGUCAUUAUAAACAUCUUAUGUUGCUAUCUUUUCCUAAUAAGGUCUACUCUCUAACACCCCCAACCCAAAUGUAAAAUGACCUAUGACCUUGCUAUGUAUUUGGGUGUAUUUAGGGACACUGGCAUCAAUGAGAAGCACGUUAGAAGUCUCUUGCUCCAUCUCAAAUUACUGAGUCAGAAUCUGUAUUUUUUAAAAAUCCCCAGGGAUUCCUAUCCACAUUAAAUUUUGAGAAACACUGAUGAAUGGUGAAACUAUGACCUUAACAGUUUAACUAAAAAGUUAAAAUCAUCACCAGAAGGUCUUUCAAAAUUACUUUGAUAAAUGAAACAAAUGGUCUCAUUUAUAAUUUUCCCCACAUUUGAAAACUCAAGUAAAAAUGAUAUUACAACUAACAAGCAAACUUAUCUUCAUGAUUUAAAAAGACAUUUCAGUAACAAUAUUGCUGGUUGUAUUUAAAUUCAAAUAGACCAAACUAUUUUCCACACCAACUCUACAGAGAUUAUACUUAAGUAUUACUAACCUAUUAAGGUUAUACUUCUUCAUGGGAAGCAUGGAAAGAAAAGUUUAAAUAUUAUAAGCAAAUGCUGAAGUUUGGCAAAGACUGAUGCUGGGAGGGAUUGGGGGGCAGGAGGAGAAGGGGACGACAGAGGAUGAGAUGGCUGGAUGGCAUCACUGACUCGAUGGACCUGAGUCUGGGUGAACUCCGGGAGUUGGUGAUGGACAGGGAGGCCUGGCGUGCUGCAAUUCAUGGGGUCGCAAAGAGUUGGACACAACUGAGCGACUGAACUGAAACAUGUACCACCUAACCAAAAGUAUGCCGAAGUCAUUAUGACCAGUGGAACUGAGGUACUUGAAUGAUGGUAUACAAACAUACACCAUUACAAUCAAUCAUUAUUUGAAUAAUUCAUUCAAAUAAUAAAGAGAUUAUCAUCGCUUAUCAAGAUUUGUCUGGACAAUGUUUUUCACCCACAAAUUUUCCCCCACAAAAUUUUCAAAAUAGUGAUUUAGGCGGUAAACAGUAACGGCCUUUUAAAAUAUAUUAACCUCUGCUUAACCUACUUAAAAACCCAGGUAACGGAAAUUUGCAGAUUUAAAGAAUUCCUGGCCAAAGCACGAAAUUAAUAUCCCAAGAACAUGCACACAGGAAUAUCUGUUGCCAAUUCAACUAAAAGUUGCUCAGUAUAUGAGACCUUUAAUAAUGCAGUAUUUUCCUACUGAAGCAAGUAUCUUUCUCUCUACAUGUCUGACUAAGGCAGAGCUCUUUUACCAAUGUUACUGAACUACUGAUCCUCAUCUUUAAUCCUGUAGAGAAAAAUUUUAAGUGAUCAAACCUCACGUUAUUUUAAAAGGCACAACCAAGUUGUACAACUUUAUGACUAAUUUAACCUCUUGUCCUCUUAAAAAAUGGACAGCUGGGCCUAAAAUUUACUCUUGGGGGAUUUUAGUAACGGAACAGAACAGUAGUCCUGCUUGUAAGUUUUUUGAGGAAAUGUCUAUAAAUGAUUGUGAUUUCAGUCAUAAAUUCCAAGUCUAAAUAAAUAGCACUGUGAUUUCUUUCACAUCAAUAGGAAGAUAUUCCCUUAUGUGAGUAAAAUAUGGGAGUUUUCUAGGCAGACUCCAGUGGUAAAGAAUCUCCUUGCCAACGCAGGAGCCCUGAGAGACUCAGGUUGGAUCCCUAGGUCGGAAAGAUCUCCUGGAAAAGGGCUAACCCACUCCAGUAUUCUAGUCUGGACAGUCCCCGUGGACAGAGGAGCCUGGAGGGCUACGGUUCAUAGGGUUGCGAAGAACUGGACAUGACUGAACCUGCUUAGCAUCCAUGCAGCAGUGUAUUUAAAGUGUUUGGGGGGGCUUCCCUUGUGGCUUAGCUGGUAAAGAAUACGCCUGCAAUGCAGGAUUGGGAUUUCAGUCAUAAUUUCCAAGUCAAAAAAGAACUGGGAUUUCUUUCACAUCAAUAGGAAGAUAUUCCCCUAUGUGAAUAAAAUAUACUCCACAAGAAAAUACUUAAUAAAAAUCUUAUUUCUAAAAAUAAACUAGUAAAUUCAGGGCUUUAGGUAGAGAAAAAAGACACCAAUAGAGUCUAAGUUUAAAAUGAUCGUCAAACCACCUUUUUAUUCCUGGAAAAAAUACACCACAAACCAGUGAGCUGCGUCACC